rnacentral:rRNA from 1 species
CCUANGGGUGGCAGCAGUGAGGAAUCUUGGACAAUGGGGGCAACCCUGAUCCAGCGACGCCGCGUGAAGGACGAAGGUCUUCGGAUUGUAAACUUCUUUUGUUCGGGACUAAUAAGUCUCUAGAAAUAGAGAAAUUGACGGUACCGGACGAAUAAGCCACGGCUAACUUCGUGCCAGCAGCCGCGGUAAUACGAAGGUGGCAAGCGUUACUCGGAAUUACUAGGCGUAAAGGGCAGGUAGGUGGUUCGGUAAGUCUGUUGUGUAAGCUCCCGGCUUAACUGGGAGAGGUCAACGGAAACUGCCGGACUUGAGUAUGGGAGAGGGUACUGGAAUUCCCGGUGUAGCGGUGAAAUGCGCAGAGAUCGGGAGGAACACCAAUGGCGAAAGCAGGUACCUGGACCAUUACUGACACUCAGCUGCGAAAGCUAGGGGAGCAAACAGGAUUAGAUACCCUUNUANUC